GCUUGAACCCAGGAGGCGGAGCUUGCAGUGAGCCGAGAUCUUGCCACUGCACUCCAGCCUGGUGACAGAGCGAGACUCUGUCUCAAAAAAAAAGAGUCAAGCAAAGUGGUAAAACUUUCUUCUGCAUGUUGUGACAGAAGAGGGAGAGAAAGGAAGUGGACCAGGACAAAUUAAGAGACCACCACUUUUAAUGAGAGCUCACUUAGUUCUAAAGCUACACGUGUAGUGGCAGUGACCUGCGAAGGUGUACUCUGUUUUUCCAGCGAGUCACAGCAGGCUGGGUCUGAGUCUCAGUUUGCCAGAUGCAAAGUGAUUUUGCUUUCCCGGGGUGCCUGAUGUGGUGCGUUUCUCAUCCGUGGACGUGGCCUGUGAGGGACCCGGUCUGUGGCUCUGUUUUCACAGCAUCUGGCAGUGGUGACUGCAGUAGGAAGUGCUUGAUGCAGGCUCAUUGUGAAGAGUCAACAGAAGGCAUCAAAGCUUUUGAACAAGAAAGAGACAGAUUGAAAGUGAUUUCGUAGGGCAUGUAAUUGGGUGGCGCUGAUGUGAAGAAUUGGAGUGAAGACCUGAGUCAGAAAAAUCAUGCAAGAGACUUGGAAGGGAACGGGGGCUCUUGAAAGGCUGGGAAAACACAGUGGUGAAUGAAAGUGAUGGAGAACAGAGCAUGCCUGAGGGAAAACAGGUCAUUUCAUUAGAAUUAAUGGGCCGACUGCACACCGUGUCUUGGUUUUCAAAUUACCGGCCAAAUCACCAAGCCAGAACCCUCGUUCCCCACAUACCUCAUUUUGGCUAUGAAACCACCCCGAGAUUGAUUUAGAAAAUGGGUGAGGUCCAUGGGGUGAAAGGCCUCCAAGGUGGAUUAAUUACCUCUGGCUUGCGUUCGAUGAUGAGCAAACAACCCUAGGCCAAAAGUCAUCAUGGGAGGGACUUCUGUCCUUAGGUUAACACUCACACAUUGUUUAUCAUCCAGACAAAGCCUGCGUUUUGGGAAGGAUACUUUUCUGCCUGCAAAGAUCUUUACCACCUUAAAAUGCAAUUUCCUAUGCAGAAAACAUGGCAAGAAAGGAUCAGGGAAAUUUGUUUUUAUGUUGAGUUUUGUUUCGUCUUUUUCCAUGGAUACUGCAGCAUCAGAUAUUUUUAGCUGAUUUUGAAAAGGAUAAUUUCUAAAUAAGUCAGAAGACUUGUAUGUUUAGUGUUUGGUUCAUAACACAAAAUUUCAAUUUGCUAAGCACCCAUUUAAUGACCAUUCUCAUCUCAUGCUUUAUUAUGACAUUGACAUGUGGUCAUAUUUCAUAUCUACAUAGCCACUGAAGCACUGAGACCAGGUCAUCCUUCAGGCCGGUUUAAGUUAGAAAUUGCAAUAUGCACACAACGGCGAUUCAGUCUGCUCCUGCCACAGAACAGUAAGAGUGCCAUGCUGUAAAAUGCAACCAGGGAACCCCUCAUUGGGGAUUGCUGUGAGGGUUACAGUUUAAAGGAUACUAAACUGUGCCUUAUCAAGGGUUAGAUGCAAUUGAGUGUUAGCUAUUGUCAUUGUCACCAUCAUCUUUGUG
rnacentral:lncRNA from 1 species